ACGUAGGGUGCGAGCGUUAAUCGGAAUUACUGGGCGUAAAGCGUGCGCAGGCGGUUUCGUAAGACAGAUGUGAAAUCCCCGGGCUUAACCUGGGAACUGCGUUUGUGACUGCGAGACUUGAGUGCGGCAGAGGGGGGUGGAAUUCCACGUGUAGCAGUGAAAUGCGUAGAGAUGUGGAGGAACACCGAUGGCGAAGGCAGCCCCCUGGGUCGACACUGACGCUCAUGCACGAAAGCGUGGGGAGCAAACAG
rnacentral:rRNA from 1 species